UGGGGAAUUUUGGACAAUGGGGGCAACCCUGAUCCAGCCAUGCCGCGUGAGUGAAGAAGGCCUUCGGGUUGUAAAGCUCUUUCAGGUGAGAAGAAAAGGAUAUGGUGAAUAGCCAUAUCUGCUGACGGUAUCACAAGAAGAAGCACCGGCUAACUACGUGCCAGCAGCCGCGGUAAUACGUAGGGUGCGAGCGUUAAUCGGAAUUACUGGGCGUAAAGCGUGCGCAGGCGGUUUGAUAAGACAGAUGUGAAAUCCCCGAGCUUAACUUGGGAACUGCAUUUGUGACUGUCAAGCUAGAGUGUAGCAGAGGGGGGUAGAAUUCCACGUGUAGCAGUGAAAUGCGUAGAUAUGUGGAGGAAUACCGAUGGCGAAGGCAGCCCCCUGGGUUAACACUGACGCUCAUGCACGAAAGCGUGGGGAGCAAACAGG
rnacentral:rRNA from 1 species